CAAGUCAGAUAGCAGGUUCUCCGCAGCUGACAGGAACAGAACCCAGAGACGCUCUGACAGUUGUUGAUCGUCCGCACCUGUGGUGGGAGGUUCAGAGUCUGACAGGAGACACAGGAGACGGCAGGAUAGACCUGCACACAGAUCCUGUAUGCAAGUGCCCUUAUUCCCUCCAACUCGUUCCGGAGGAAAGCGCCAUCCGCUGAGCUGCCGAGUAAAGCUGCCAGCUGGUGGAAACAGGACAUGACGUGACUGAGAGCCUCCUGGGCCCGCUCACAAUCCCACUGGUUCCGACGCAAAGCUGUCAGCCCAUCUACUGAACGACGCCACCGACUCAUGAUGUGGUCAAAGGCAUGAGUCAGUAGUGGCACUGGACCACACCACAUGACACGCCUUGCCACAGCAGCACAGGUGAGGCAUUCAGGUUUUUUGCGUCUUUUAAUCUUAUAUUUAGGGCCAGUUAAAUUUUAACAAUUAAAUGCAUUAAGUCAUUUUUUCUAACUUGUUCAAAUUAGUUCUUUGCUUGUAUUAGAAUUGUGAUUGACAGAAUGAAUAACAUGAUGAAUUAACUUAAACUUUAUGAUGUUUACCAACAGAACACAUUAAUGCAUUUUAAAACAGACAAUCCUAUGAUGUAUUUAUAGAUUUAAAAUGACAAAUUAAAGAGUACAUUUACUACUAAAUUUCGUACACACGGAAAAAUGUCUUAAUUUCCUUGAGGCUUUAAAUGGUUAGAAAGGUGUUUGCAGAAAAUCAAAGUUGUUGUCCUACCUGCUGCUGCUGAUUCUUGAACUGCGUAGCACCUGGCAGGUUUCAGUAAACACUCAAUAAGCAUUUUUCUUCUCACGAGAGACUGUCAGUGUUUUUAAUUAGUGCUCAGAGGCCAGCUGAGCCUGAAUUCUCCCAGGAUUGUCAGAUUACCCUCAGCUCUCACCUCAGCGCACGGUUCACCACCAACCGCUUCACGUUUCAAACAGAUUUUCCCCACUCAGCGACACACCCACUCUGAUCAUUGGCGACUCCGUAGUCCGAAACGUGAAGUUAGAGAAUGCAGCGGUUAUAGUUAAGUGUUUGCCAGGGGCCAGAGCGGGCGACAUUGAGUCUUAUCUUAAGAAUAUAUAAGAAUACAUAAGAAUGUAUAAGAAUAAGUACGCUAAGAUCGUAUUACACGCAGGAGCUAAUGACGCCCGAUUACGCCAAUCAGAAGUCACUAAAACUUACACUGAGUCGGUGUGUUCGUUCGCCAAAACAAUGUCGGACUACGUAGUUUUCUCCUCAAUGUGACUAGCAAAAAUGACGAAGUAAUAUGUGUUGUGGCUGAUAAUUACCUCUGUUGCGAGUCAGCUUCCAUGUCGCUAGAGGCCACUCCGACUCGCCUUGUAUUAGUGUUCUCUUGGUUGAUUCUUUGUAGUGAUGGGUAGAUGAGGCGUCAUGAAACGUUUCGAUACAUUGCAAAACUGUAUUGAUACUGUGCCGAUACUGUGUCACUGAAUACUGACACCUGCUGGACAUUAAAACUCCCUACAGGCAACCUAGUUGACGGACUCAUCUGACACUGAUUUUGUGACCUAAUAUAUACAAUAAUAUAAUUUAAGCCAUUGUAUGUUAUAUAGUAUUAUUUCAUAUCUUCAUUUACAUUUAAAAUUUAUAUUUUUAGAUACAGUCGAUAAAGUGUAUCAUAACGUAAAAAUCUAAGUGAACAUGUUGUGAAUGAAGAUGCCUUUUUUUUUGUUUUUUUUUUAACAAAUUUGGUCUCUCUGCCCACUGCAAUGAGGAGAUCUUGCCAAAGGUUAUCUAGAAACAACACACUGCCAUUUUAGUACACCAUUUCCAAACAACAAGAAACAAAUAAUGCUGAAUAACAUGCCUAAAGAGGGUGCAGACAGCUGCUGUUCUGACUGCAGUCUACUGACGGCCUCAUUGCACUUGGAGGAACUGCGGAGUGAUUUAAAUCUGGGGUCUAGAAGUGUUGCUGGGGUCAACACACUGUGAGGUGGUUUUGCUUAAAUAGGAAAGUUCUGUCUAACAAAUACGAAAUUUAACCUGCAUAAAACAAUAUGAUUAGUAAAGAGUCACUUUGGAAAUUAAUCUGAAUUCAGAUAGAUCAAGUAAAAACUUUUUAAAAUGAAUUAAUUAUUUUAAUAAUACACUUUCACUUUAUUAUAAAAUUAAAUCAAAAAAGAAACAUUAUUUUCCGAUAUGAGAUGAAUUAUAGAUGAAUUUGACGAUGAACGGCAAACGCUCAGGGAUUCCAUUCGGCAGAUGCAUCCCGACACAUGCGCUUCCUUAUAAACACAGUCUGGCGCGUCAGACAGUGACUGAUACAGGAACUGUAUCGGUCACGUGCUUUCCCGACGCGAUACGCGCACCGACACAGUGUUUCGCUCUAAGAGCUCGACGCAGGCGCAGACGCAUCGGUGUUGCCGGACCCAUCACUAAUUCUUUGUCUUUUCAUUUCCUGCUAGGUCAUUUCCUGUUAUUAGUUUGAUUAGUGUCGCCUGGGUUAGUUAGUAUUUAGGCUCUCAGUUUAUGCACAGUCUUUGUUGGUUUAUUGUACGUGUGGUAGUGAUAGGUAGAUGAGGCGUCAUGAAGCGUUUCGACACAUUGCAAAACUGUAUUGAUACUGUGUCAAUGAAUACUGACACCUGCUGGACCUUAAAAAUCCCUACAGGCAACCUAGUUGACAGACUCACCUGACACUGAUUUGAUGACCGAACAUAUACAAUAAUAUAAUUUAAGCCAAUGUUCAUGUUAUAUAGUAUUGUUUCAUAUUUUCAUUUCAAUUUAAAAUUGAUAUUUUUAGAUACAGUCGAUAAAAUGAACAUUGUAUCAUAACGUGAAAAUCUAAGUGAACAUGUGAAUGGGAUUCCAAAAACUUUAUUAAUCCCAAAGGGAAAUGAUUUUACACACUUUGAUUGCUGUCACAGUUGAAGGGACAGACAAGGAUGUAGGGAGAUUAAAAAUAUUAAUAAGUAGAAAGCUUUUUUUUUAUUGCUCAUUAUCACAUACAAUGUAACAACAAAGUUGGUCUUCUGCAUUUAACCCAUCCCCUGGGGGAGCAGUGGGCUGCAAUUCAAGGCAAUCCAAAUUCAGAAAUCAAGUGGAAACUUGAACAGGAAAAUUAAGAGAUACCUUAUUUUCCGACAUGAGAUCAAAAUGGUCGCACACGGCGGAAAGCUUUUUUUUUAGCUUGAGGCUGCUCCAUAAUUAUAGAUCAAUUUGACGAUGAAUGGCAAAUGCUCAGGGAUUCCCUUUGGCAGAUGCAGCCCGACACGUGCGCUUUCUUAAAAAUAGUUUGGUGCGUCAGUGACUUUUACAACAUGAUACACGCACCGACAUGGGGUGAGCUCGAAGCAUGUGCCGACGCUUCAGUGUUGCCGGACCCAUCACUAGUGUUCAGGUUUGUCUGUUUGAGUGUUUUGUUUUUGUCUUUACUUACAUGUUUACUUUAGUUCUUUUUGGUUUAGCUCGCCUGCUCAUGCAGUGAUCCUUAGUCAGGGGUAUUUUGGUUAUUGGUUUAAAUGGGCAGUUAUUACCUACCCUGUCUAUGCAGCGUUCUUAGUUUGUGUCUAUCUGUGUUUGCUAAUUUAAUGGUUUUAUAAUUUAAGUGUGUCAGUGGAUUUUGGCGAUUGGGUCCUCAUCUCUCAUCGGGUCAGGUUUUGCACUGCAUCUAAAACCCAAGGUUGUAGGAGAACAAACCAACCAUAUGGAGGCGACGAUUGGGAAUAUUCAGUGCGACAUCACACCUGCUGUUGCCCUCACCUUAUCUGCACCGGCUACUGGCCUGGUUUCGUCUUUGGCUCCGGUUCCAGUUCCACGCAUGGUUUCGUCUUUGGCUCCGGUUCCAGUUCCACGCAUGGUUUCGUCUUUGGCUCCGGUUCCAGUUCCACGCAUGGUUUCGUCUUUGGCUCUGGUUCCAGUUCCACGCAUGGUUUCGUCUUUGGCUCUGGUUCCAGUUCCACGCAUGGUUUCGUCCUUGGCUCCGGUUCUGGCUACUCGUCUGGUUUCGUCUCUGGUUCCGGUUCCACGUCUGGUUUCAUCUGGUUUCUACUCACCUACAAAGUACUCAAUGAUAAAGCUCCUUCUUAUCUUAAAGACUUCAUAGUUCCUUAUGCUCCCAGCAGAACGCUUCGUUCUCAGAGCGCUGGGCUACUUGUGGUUCCUAGAGUCUUUAAAUGUGGAACGGGAGGCAGAGCUUUUAACUCCAAGCUCCUCUCCUGUGGUACCAGGUCCCUGUUCAGGUUUGAGAAGCUGACACACUCUCCACCUUUAAAAUCAGGCUUAAAACCUUCCUUUUUGAUAAAACUUAUAGUUAGAGAUGGUUCAUGUUACUGGCAAUUAUUGUUAGUCACAGGAACCAUCUCUUAGUUAAGCUGCAAUAGACAUAGACUGCUGGGGGACUUAAUUUAUACACUGAGCUCCUCUGUUUCCUUCUACCUCUUGUCUUGUCUGUCCAAUAACCUUCCAUCAUUGUUUUAUGUUAAACUAACCUUGUCUCUUUCUCUCCAGUAGUUGUGCUUCUUCCCCCCCCCCCUCUCUCCUCCACUCUGUCCUCACCUACAGGUAUCAUUGGACUCAAAGUUUGGUGUCUGUGAUGGGCAGCUGUGGAUCCAACCAUCCUGCCUGCAUCCAGUCCCUGGUCCAACCAUCCUGCCUGUGCUCUGUUGUUGUUGCUGUGCUUUUCUCUCUAUCCUCUCACCCCAACCGGUUGAGGCAGAUGGCCGCCCACAUCCAGCCUGGUUCUGCUGGAGGUUUCUUCCUCGUUAGAGAGGGAGUUUUUCCUCUCCACUGUUGCUGUCAAAUUAAAUGCUUGCUGUAUGUGGGAUUGGUUGGGUUUAGUUGUGUGAGGUCUUAAACCUUACUUUGUAAAGUGCCUUGAGAUAACUUUGUUGUGAUUUGGCGCUAUAUAAAUAAAAUUGAAUUGAAUUGAA